rnacentral:tRNA from 1 species
GAGUCAUUAGCUCAAUCGGUAGAGCACCUAAUUGUCAAUUAGGAUUAUUUCAGUUCAAAUCUGUAAUGACUCG